rnacentral:rRNA from 1 species
GACGAACGCUGGCGGCGUGCUUAACACAUGCAAGUCGAACGAUGAAGCCUUUCGGGGUGGAUUAGUGGCGAACGGGUGAGUAACACGUGGGCAAUCUGCCCUGCACUCUGGGACAAGCCCUGGAAACGGGGUCUAAUACCGGAUAUCACCUCCCGAGGCAUCUUGGGGGGUUGAAAGCUCCGGCGGUGCAGGAUGAGCCCGCGGCCUAUCAGCUUGUUGGUGGGGUGAUGGCCUACCAAGGCGACGACGGGUAGCCGGCCUGAGAGGGCGACCGGCCACACUGGGACUGGGACACGGCCCAGACUCCUACGGGAGGCAGCAGUGGGGAAUAUUGCACAAUGGGCGCAAGCCUGAUGCAGCGACGCCGCGUGAGGGAUGACGGCCUUCGGGUUGUAAACCUCUUUCAGCAGGGAAGAAGCGCAAGUGACGGUACCUGCAGAAGAAGCACCGGCUAACUACGUGCCAGCCGCCGCCGUAA